AGAGUUUGAUCCUGGCUCAGGAUGAACGCUAGCGACAGGCCUAACACAUGCAAGUCGAGGGGUAACAUGAGUGCUUGCACUUGAUGACGACCGGCGCACGGGUGCGUAACGCGUAUGCAACUUACCUUGUACUGGGGAAUAGCCCGUGGAAACGCGGAUUAAUGUCCCAUAACACUACAAUUUCGCAUGGAAAAGUGGUUAAAGUUCCGACGGUACAAGAUGGGCAUGCGUGACAUUAGCUAGUUGGUGAGGUAAGGGCUCACCAAGGCGACGAUGUCUAGGGGUUCUGAGAGGAAGGUCCCCCACACUGGUACUGAGACACGGACCAGACUCCUACGGGAGGCAGCAGUGAGGAAUAUUGGUCAAUGGGCGCAAGCCUGAACCAGCCAUGUCGCGUGCAGGAAGACUGCCCUACGGGUUGUAAACUGCUUUUGUAUGGGAAGAAACGUUGGUACGUGUACCAAUUUGCCGGUACCAUACGAAUAAGGAUCGGCUAACUCCGUGCCAGCAGCCGCGGUAAUACGGAGGAUCCAAGCGUUAUCCGGAUUUAUUGGGUUUAAAGGGUGCGUAGGCGGUAGAAUAAGUCAGUGGUGAAAUCCUGCAGCUUAACUGUAGAACUGCCAUUGAUACUGUUUUACUUGAGUGUAAUUGAGGUAGGCGGAAUGUGUUGUGUAGCGGUGAAAUGCAUAGAUAUAACACAGAACACCGAUUGCGAAGGCAGCUUACUAAGUUAUAACUGACGCUGAUGCACGAAAGCGUGGGUAGCGAACAGGAUUAGAUACCCUGGUAGUCCACGCCGUAAACGAUGAUUACUCGCUGUAGGCAAUACACCGUCUGUGGCUGAGCGAAAGCAUUAAGUAAUCCACCUGGGGAGUACGUUGGCAACAAUGAAACUCAAAGGAAUUGACGGGGGCCCGCACAAGCGGAGGAACAUGUGGUUUAAUUCGAUGAUACGCGAGGAACCUUACCUGGACUUAAAUGUAGAUUGACGUAUCCAGAGAUGGAUAUUUCUUCGGACAAUUUACAAGGUGCUGCAUGGUUGUCGUCAGCUCGUGCCGUGAGGUGUCGGGUUAAGUCCCAUAACGAGCGCAACCCCUGUUGUUAGUUACCAGCACAUCAUGGUGGGGACUCUAACAAGACUGCCGGUGUAAACCGCGAGGAAGGUGGGGAUGACGUCAAAUCAGCACGGCCCUUACGUCCAGGGCUACACACGUGUUACAAUGGCCGGUACAGAGGGCAGCUACUUGGUGACAAGAUGCGAAUCUCAAAAACCGGUCUCAGUUCGGAUCGAAGUCUGCAACCCGACUUCGUGAAGCUGGAUUCGCUAGUAAUCGCAUAUCAGCCAUGAUGCGGUGAAUACGUUCCCGGGCCUUGUACACACCUAAAAG
rnacentral:rRNA from 1 species